CAGAAAAUGGCCGCACCCAGGCAGUUUCGUAGCCGUUUUGAAAACGCAGGAAAGACGCGACCGUACUGCAAAUCUUUGGGUCCAUACAAUAACGAACGCGCUUGGAGCCGAGAACUGGGGAAUGUUGAGGUUCACAGAAAAUUAUGCCUCAGCAUGGGUUGUACCCGGAGCCUUUGUGGAUACUGAUUUACAUGAUGAGAUUUGGCCCUUUUGAGCUGCUAAGAUUUGGUUGAGAUUCUGAGGAUCAGAUGGGACAGUCUGGAAGAAUGGAUAGAGAAAGAGGAAGGUCCAAGAUAAGAGCUUCACGCACUCCAAGCUUUAGAAUUCUGGGAGAAGGAUAUGCACUGAGAAUAUGACAAGCUCACUCAGAGACAAUCAAACCCUAUCUGUGCUGAUUGGACAAAUAAGCAAUAUGGAUUGGACAUCAGAAUGCAGGAUCUGCCCUGACUGGUGUGGCCCAGUGGAUCAGGUGUCAUCCUGCAAAGCAAAAGAUCACCGGUUGAAUACAGUUCAAUACUUGGUCAGUGCACAUGCAUGAGUUGUGAGCCAAGUUUCCAGUUGGGGCAUGUUGUAAGAAGCAACCAAUCGAUGUUUCUCUCUCACAUCAAUGUUUCUGUCCCUCUCUCUCCCCCUCU